AGGACACGCUGGCGGCGUGGAUUAGGCAUGCAAGUCGGACGGUAGGGCUUUAUCGUAAGAUAGAGUUUGAGAGUGGCGAAUGGGGUGAGUAACACGUAGGAAUCUACCCUUAAGACGGGACAACCCAGGGAAACUUGGGCUAAUACCGGAUGAGAGUGCGAGAGAUUGCAUUUAAAAGGAUGGCGAAAGUUAUCGCUUAGGGAUGAGCCUGCGGUCUAUUAGUUAGUUGGUGGGGUAAGAGCUCACCAAGGCGAUGAUAGAUAGGCGGCCUUAACGGGUGGUCGCCCACACUGGGAUUGAGAUACGGCCCAGACUCCUACGGGAGGCAGCAGUCGAGAAUAGUCUACAAUGGCCGGAAGGCUGAUAGUGCGACGCCGCGUGAACGAGGGAGCCCUUCGGGGUGUAAAGUUCUUUUCUAUACGAGCAGUGCUAUAUAUAUGGAUAGUAUAUAUAGAGGGAUAGUAGUAUAGGAAUAAGCAACGGCUAACUCCGUG
rnacentral:rRNA from 1 species